rnacentral:rRNA from 1 species
CUCGUAGGCGGUUCGGUAAGUCGGGUGUGAAAACUUUGGGCUCAACCCAAAGCCUGCAUCCGAUACUGCUGUGACUUGAGUCCGGUAGGGGAGUGGGGAAUUCCUGGUGUAGCGGUGGAAUGCGCAGAUAUCAGGAGGAACACCGGUGGCGAAGGCGCCACUCUGGGCCGGUACUGACGCUGAGGAGCGAAAGCGUGGGGAGCGAACA